CACUGGGAUAGCCUCGGGAAACCGAGGUUAAUACCGGAUACUCCAUAUUUGUCGCAUGGGCGAAUAUGGGAAAAGCUCCGGCGGCAAAGGAUGGGGCCCGCGGCCUGUUAGCUAGUUGGUGGGGGUAGUGGCCUACCCAAGGCCAAUGAUGGGUAGCCGGGUUGAGAGACCGACCGGCCAGAUUGGGACUGAGACACGGCCCAGACUCCUACGGGAGGCAGCAGUGGGGAAUCUUGCACAAUGGGCGAAAGCCUGAUGCAGCGACGCCGCGUGCGGGAUGAAGGCCUUCGGGUUGUAAACCGCUUUCAGCAGGGACGAGGCCGCAAGGUGACGGUACCUGCAGAAGAAGCCCCGGCUAACUACGUGCCAGCAGCCGCGGUAAU
rnacentral:rRNA from 1 species